rnacentral:rRNA from 1 species
UACGGGGGGGGCAAGCGUUGUUCGGAAUUACUGGGCGUAAAGGGCGCGUAGGCGGCCUACUAAGUCGGACGUGAAAUCCCUCGGCUCAACCGGGGAACUGCGUCCGAUACUGGUGGGCUUGAAUCCGGGAGAGGGAUGUGGAAUUCCAGGUGUAGCGGUGAAAUGCGUAGAUAUCUGGAGGAACACCGGUGGCGAAGGCGGCAUCCUGGACCGGUAUUGACGCUGAGUGCGCGAAAGCCAGGGGAGCAAACGGG